GAAUAUCGGACAAUGGGGGGAACCCUGAUCCCGCCAUGCCGCGUGUGUGAAGAAGGCCUUUUGGUUGUAAAGCACUUUACGCCAGGAGGAGGAUACUCCAGUUAAUACCUAGAGAUAGUUGACGUUAUCCGUCGAAUAAGCCCCGGCUAACUCUGUGCCAGCAGCCGCGGUAAUACAGAGGGUGCAAGCGUUAACCGGAUUUACUGGGCGUAAAGCGCGCGUAGGUGGCCAAUUAAGUCAAAUGUGAAAUCCCCGAGCUUAACUUGGGAGUUGCAUUCGAUACUGGUUGGCUAGAGUAUGGGAGAGGAUGGUAGAAUUCCAGGUGUAGCGGUGAAAUGCGUAGAGAUCUGGAGGAAUACCGAUGGCGAAGGCAGCCAUCUGACCUAAUACUGACACUGAGGUGCGAAAGCAUGGGGAGCAAAC
rnacentral:rRNA from 1 species